UUAAUACUAACAUGAAGGAAAUAACGUAAUACUUACAAAUAAGAAAAAAAUAAUUAAAUAGUUUCAGCAGCAGCAAAAAUUAUAGCAAUUGACAGACAACCAAGAAAUACAAAUAACGGUAAUAGCAAAUAACGCUGAGAUCUGCGCUGUUGCAUUUCAAUGUUUGACUAAGCGCAAUAAAACACCGCACACACGCUGAAAAAAGAGCGCAAUACUACACAUCAUUGAAAACUAAUGAACAAAAAGCCAGUGAACAGGCAGAAAAGAUUUAUGCAAAUUUAAGAAGCGCCAGGCAACUAUUCUAUAAAAUUUUUUGAAGUGGAUUUUCCGCAUUUUGCGAUUGCGUCGAAGGCCUUCACGUGCGAUCAAGUCAUGGCUCCAUGUGCCAUGUGGCAGUCACCGGACAAAACACAGACCACUUCCUCCACUCCACGACAAAUCGAUGAAACCGGCGGUGCCACUCACCGAAGUCGAGAAAGCCCAAUGAGUUGAGCAAAUGUUUUCGCCAGACCUCGCCCCUCUUCUCAGAAGUGAUAACAAAUAACUUCCACUAGCUAAAGGCUUUGUGGCAGAGCCAUCAGAUGCUGAGUUUAACAAGAAAAAUACAAGGAUACUAUCAAAAUGGAAAACGAAGAGCACUCAUCUAUUGGAAGGGGGUUCUUUAUUUUGGACAGGUAUUUAUUUGGGUGGUUUUCUAAACGGAGCUUCCCCACGACAGAGACCCGCUAAAAGUUCUUUCACCUCGAAUCAGUUCCCAGUUUCAUGUCUUCGUUCGGUGAUCGUAAACGAUCAUCAGCGACUUCGGAAAGUUUUAAUGCCAGCGAUAGAUAAGAGCGUUAAUAAGUGACAGGGCGCCAAAGCGAAUCAUAAACAAUUUUAUUCGCGCGUGUCAGAGAGAAAGAGCAAGAAAAAGAAUCGCAAGCAAAUCUAAAAAGCACAAACUCGACAGGUUGCCUUUGGGUGAUAUGGUAUUUCAUUCAUGCUAUAAACAGUCGUUUUAAGCUCUCUUUGUGUCAAUACAUAUUAGUCACAUAUUUAAAGCAUUUUCGGUCACAAAUAUUUAAAACUAAUUGUUUUGGUUUUGGCUUUUUGCAAUCCAGCACAUAGCAUGAAGAAAUUAUUGAUACCCUUGGCCAGUAAGUCCUGGUCUGUAUUUCUUCCGCCACCGAUAAUGACAUAAUAAAUAAAUAUAAAUAAAGAAAGUUAUUACAAUUGUAAAUUGGAAUAGGUGAAUAAAUUAAGUUAAGAAAAACAAUAAAUAAUUAUACCUGUCAAAGCAAAUAAUUUAUUUGUAUGCUUAUAAACAAAUUAGUAAUCCAACACACAAUAAAAUCAAUUGGGAAGAACUAUCUCAAUUGUUGUUAAUUCUGGCACACUACAUAAAUUGCCAUUCAGUCAUAUUCUAUCAGUCUUGGAUGAGUUUCGUAUUCUAGGAUUGGAUUGCCGCUGCUGCCGGGCUGAUGUUUAUGUUAUAGACACAAAAAAUCACUUAGCUUAAAAAUGAUUUCAAGUAUUUUGUGGGAUUUAAAAAUAUACAUCAAAGUGAGAAGCGGCGACGGAAGCGUGACAUAGAGUAUCAGGUAAUGGCCAAAUAGGAUAGAUUGACCAAAAAUAAAUAUUGAGAUGGCUAUUUUUAAACCAAAAAACCUCGUAUCCGAUCUUCAAUUGCACGAGCGCAAAUAGAAGUUUCUAUAUGGGGAUCGGCACAUUUUGGACCGCACACUCACACUGUUAAUUGGCACCGCUCGAGCGAAUCACUUCGCGAGUCUACCCUCGAGAAAAUUUGUUUUAAAUUAGAUUUUUGGACAACCUCGUCUAGAACCAUGCAAUGCCUGAAAUAUGUUGGAACGUGUUUGCGCUUACAUCCUAAUAAAUUAAAUAAGUGAAUUGUUACAAUCGACAUUUGUGACUUGAUAUUUUCGUUGAGCUUCCCCGAUUGUAACAUUCACUUUUCUUUCGAAUUAUUAAUUAUGCAGGCGAAAUUACAGCUAUCCAACUUUCUUACUCUGUUGGGCACCAUAAACUAGGGAGUAACCUAAAAUGUUCCUUAUGCUGUUGUCCCGGCUGCAAUGCCCAAUCUAUAAACCAUGCGGGAGUGAAAAAGUAUCUGACAGAUACAAAUAGAAAACGGCAAUUUUGGCAUUUUAUAUUAAAUACUACUGGUGAGGUUUUUAACAGGGCGAACGAAUGAUUCUAUUGGCGCUCAAGGCUCGAAGAAGUGUUAAUAUAAUUGCUGUUUGUGUCAUUAGAAUCAAUGUUGCAAUUAUAAACUACUUUGUUAUUCCAGUAGUCCGUACUUUCUAUCCAGUUAUAAUGUGAACACGCGUGGCGAGUACAAUUUUCCUCCCGUCCGUCAUCAAAAUUGUUCCCAUUUCAACGCCGUCUUCUAUAUUCCCAAGUCAUUACGGUGUUAAUAAGUCUUAAAAAAAUUAAAUUCAACGCCUUGCUAAGGCGCAAAAGUCGAUAUGACGUUGAAGAAGAAGAAAACAGUCGAUUUGGGACACGUCGUUUUAAAAGUUAAUACUUUUUCGUACUUAGUUUUGCUAUUGCGCACUUUUAGAAAUGAUAAGACAAAGCAAAAGUUUUACUACCGAUUUGGAGAAUAUAUAAUGAUUUUCUGGCACGGGACUGCCUUCUUCAUGUAGCUAUAUAUAGGAGUAUGUAUGAGCAAAAUAAAUUUUCGAUUUUGUCAAGAGGUUGGACAGGUAAAGGAAUUCCUAUCUUAAAGGGCGUGUGGCCAGACAGGUAGGUCACCAAACGUGGCUCGUGUCGAAGACAGUUUCUUAUGCAAGGCAAAGUUUUGUUCCCAUGUUUAAGGGGGGGACACAUUUCCCAAAUUUUACACAAGUGCUGGGUAACUUAUGUUACAUUAAAAAGAGUAGAGGCAUACAUGUCAAUGCAAUGCUUUUACCUUUUAGAACACUUUUCACUUGCUGUCCAUUUUGAAAUUGCUGUUAUUGCUGAGGUCGGUGACUGUCAUGUUCUAUGUAG